rnacentral:rRNA from 1 species
UACAGAGGGUGCGAGCGUUAAUCGGAAUUACUGGGCGUAAAGCGCGCGUAGGCGGCUUUGCAAGUCGGGUGUGAAAUCCCCCAGGCUUAACCUGGGAACUGCAUUCGAGACUGCAUUGCUAGAGUAUGGGAGAGGGAAGUGGAAUUUCCGGUGUAGCGGUGAAAUGCGCAGAUAUCAGGAGGAACACCGGUGGCGAAGGCGGAUCUCUGGGCCGAUACUGACGCUGAGGAGCGAAAGCGUGGGGAGCGAACAGG